AUGUCAUUAAAAAAAAAACUUAAUAGAAUAGAUUCAGGUCCAACUGUUGAAUUGAUUUCAGGUAUUUAUUUGUUUGUUUUUAAAUUAAUUGGGGUUUCAGCUCAAAAAAGAGAAACUAUUCGCAUAAAACAUGACUGCACAUAUUUUCUGGGUUACGCUUUGACAAAAACUUUUGUAUUAUCCUUAGAACAACUUAAGUUAUUAAACUUUCUUUUCUUUGUAGAACAAAGGAUGGACGCAAGCAACAAUCCGUUUUCUGUCAUUUUGAAAAGAAUGGAGAGCCUUGUAGCAUCAAAUGUUAUCAUGGGAUUGUUUCUUGUUUUCUUUGAGAAGAUGCUGGACUCAGAAUUCUUGUGCCCUUGCUAUGAAGGAAGUGUGUGGAAUACUUUGUUUGUUUCUCUUUAUUUUUUGGGUCCAAUAGUUACAAUCUUUGCUUUAAUCCCCCGUGUGCUUGAAUAUCCAAGCUGUUGUUGCAUUUGCUGUUGUUUAAUUUCCUUACAGACUUUAGUUCCUUCUCUUAUAUGGGUCAUCAUACUCUUGCUUGAUGGCCGAUAUGUAGCUUGUGCAAGGACAAACUGGUCUGGGAUUUAUGAAGCUACAGAUGGUGGUGGACUGAUGAGAUGGUGCAAACCAGACAACAACUCAUUUGAGAGGCUAAGCUAUACCCAGAGAGCGUACACAGUCUCUCAGUGCAGUGGAUUUGGGCUCUGCAUUUGCUUUGGUCUGAUUUUAUCCUGCCGUUACAUAAAGUGAAAUAAAGGAGUCAAGAAGGGAUGGAUUUGGAACCACUUGACCUGAAGAUGGAACCUAUGUCAACAGAUCCGAUCGUUUCUAAAGAAAAAACUGUUCCAAAAAUGAAUUGUAAAUGGUUCUUGCAUCUACUCUGUAGAUUGUCAUCAUGUGGUUAAAAUGAGUGAUACAAAAUUGUAUUUAGCCUCCUGGAAGAUCAAUCAAGUAGUGUAUGUUUGCUGUUCAAAAUAUAAUUGUUUUUUUCGAUUUAAUCCAUGAUUAAUGCUUGGUAUGUAAAAAGACUGUCAGUAAGCUACUUUGAAGAAAAACUGGGAAUUAUGCAGAUAUUAAAAAUAUCCUUUUGCUGACAAUGUUCAAUAAAUACAUUCAAUAAAUGUUCAUGUUCAAUAAAUAAGAUCAUAUCCAAAUAGUGUUUACAUUAUUCAAUUUAACACACAAAGUACUAAAUUUAA
rnacentral:lncRNA from 1 species